AGUGAACGCUGGCGGUAGGCCCAACACAUGCAAGUCGAACGGCAGCACAGUAAGAGCUUGCUCUUACGGGUGGCGAGUGGCGGACGGGUGAGGAAUACAUCGGAAUCUACUUUUUCGGGGGGGAUAACGUAGGGAAACUUACGCUAAUACCGCAUACGACCUACGGGUGAAAGCAGGGGAUCUUCGGACCUUGCGCGAUUGAAUGAGCCGAUGUCGGAUUAGCUAGUUGGCGGGGUAAAGGCCCACCAAGGCGACGAUCCGUAGCUGGUCUGAGAGGAUGAUCAGCCACACUGGAACUGAGACACGGUCCAGACUCCUACGGGAGGCAGCAGUGGGGAAUAUUGGACAAUGGGCGCAAGCCUGAUCCAGCCAUACCGCGUGGGUGAAGAAGGCCUUCGGGUUGUAAAGCCCUUUUGUUGGGAAAGAAAAGCAGCAGGUUAAUACCCCGCUGUUCUGACGGUACCCAAAGAAUAAGCACCGGCUAACUUCGUG
rnacentral:rRNA from 1 species